UCGUCGAGGAGCGUCGGGGAGAUGAGGUGGACGUGGCAGUCGAUGGCGCCGGCGGUGAGGAUCCGGCCGUUGCCGGCGAGGAUCUCGGUCGACGGGCCGAUCACGAGCGCCGGGUCGACGCCGUCCAUCGUGUCGGGGUUGCCGGCCUUGCCGAUGCCGACGAUUCGACCGUUCUUCACGCCGACGUCGGCCUUGACGACGCCCCAGUGAUCGAGGAUGACCGCGCCGGUGAUGACCAGAUCGGGCGCGCCGUCGGCGCUGGUGCGCGUCGACUGCCCCAUCGAUUCACGGAUGA
rnacentral:sRNA from 1 species